UCCGGUUUGGCACCGGCGGUCUCCGGUGAGUCCCCGGCAUUACCCGCUGGCAACAUCGGACAGGGGUUGCGCUCGUUGCGCCACUUAAGGCAACAUCUCACGACACGAGCUGACGACAACCAUGCACCACCUGUCACUUCGUCCCCCGAAGGGGAACCUUCCAUCUCUGGAAGUGGCAAAGGAUGUCAAGACCUGGUAAGGUUCUUCGCGUUGCUUCGAAUUAAACCACAUGCUCCACUGCUUGUGCGGGCCCCCGUCAAUUCCUUUGAGUUUCAACCUUGCGGUCGUACUCCCCAGGCGGAGUGCUUAAUGCGUUAGCUACGGCACGGAUCCCGUGGAAGGAAACCCACACCUAGCGCCCACCGUUUACGGCGUGGACUAC
rnacentral:misc_RNA from 1 species